rnacentral:rRNA from 1 species
GACGAACGCUGGCGGCGCGCCUAACACAUGCAAGUCGAACGGUGCUGAGAGAAGCUUGCUUUUCUUAGCUUAGUGGCGAACGGGUGAGUAACGCGUGAGUAACCUGCCCUGGAGUGGGGGACAACAGUUGGAAACGACUGCUCAUACCGCAUAAGCCCACGAUCCGGCAUCGGAGUGAGGGAAAAGGAUUUAUUCGCUUCAGGAUGGACUCGCGUCCAAUUAGCUAGUUGGUGAGGUAACGGCCCACCCAGGCGACGAUUGGUAGCCGGACUGAGAGGUUGAACGGCCACAUUGGGACUGAGACACGGCCCAGACUCCGACGGGAGGCAGCAGUGGGGGAUAUUGCACAAUGGGGGAAACCCUGAUGCAGCGACGCCGCGGGGAGGAAGAAGGUGUUCGGAUUGUAAACUCCUGUCGUAAGGGACGAUAAUGACGGUACCUAACAAGAAAGCUCCGGCUAACUACGUG